GGAGCCUACGGGGGGCAGCAGUGGGGAAUAUUGCACAAUGGGGGAAACCUUGAUGCAGCAACGCCGCGUGAGUGAAGAAGUAUUUCGGUAUGUAAAGCUCUAUCAGCAGGGAAGAAGAUGACGGUACCUGAGUAAGAAGCCCCGGCUAACUACGUGCCAGCAGCCGCGGUAAUACGGAGGAUGCGAGCGUUAUCCGGAUUUAUUGGGUUUAAAGGGUGCGCAGGCGGAGGUGCAAGUCAGCGGUCAAAUUGCGGGGCUCAACCCCGUACUGCCGUUGAAACUGCAUCCCUU
rnacentral:rRNA from 1 species